rnacentral:rRNA from 1 species
UACGGAGGGGGCUAGCGUUGUUCGGAAUUACUGGGCGUAAAGCGCACGUAGGCGGCGAUCUAAGUCAGAGGUGAAAGCCCGGGGCUCAACCCCGGAAUAGCCUUUGAGACUGGAUUGCUAGAAUCCGGGAGAGGUGAGUGGAAUUCCGAGUGUAGAGGUGAAAUUCGUAGAUAUUCGGAAGAACACCAGUGGCGAAGGCGGCUCACUGGACCGGCAUUGACGCUGAGGUGCGAAAGCGUGGGGAGCAAACAGG